rnacentral:rRNA from 1 species
GACAGAGGUGCCGAGCGUUAGGCGGAAUCACUGGGCUUAAAGCGUGUGUAGGCGGACCGUUAAGUACCUUGUGAAAUCCCACGGCUCAACCGUGGAACGGCUGGGUAUACUGGCGGUCUUGGGCCACCUAGGGGCAGAUGGAACAGACGGUGGAGCGGUGAAAUGCGUAGAUAUCGUCUGGAACGCCAAAGGUGAAGACAGUCUGCUGGGGGUGUGCCGACGCUGAGACACGAAAGCCAGGGGAGCGAACGGG